CCCUGUCGUCGUCUCCUUGUGAGUGAAGGGCUGGGAAGAGUAGGGGAGGUUUAUAUGUCAGUGCAGGGAGAAGACGAGGCGUUGUUGGGGCUCUACAUCGUGAAUUUGCUACGAAGGUGCGUUGUGGUCAAGCAAAAGGGGGGCGCAAAGUCAACGUGGACUUAUUCUUCGUUAGAGAACGAUGACGGACGGCAUCGUUUCCUUCGAUCAUCAGCACCUGCGUCAGCUGCAAAUCGAAAUUUCUACGUGCCUUGUGGCAGAGUUUUGAGCCGACGACAAACUAAGUUUUGUCCGCCAACUGGUGCUGCCCUCGCUCCUUUCUCGGUAAGUUAAACGCAGGGUUUCACCUUCUUCUUCUUCCUCCUCGUUGACCCCAAACUACCGGCCUCUAUUGGUCGUCAUUUAUUGAUUCCUCUCCGUAAAUGCUCUCUCGCCAGGACCGCGUCAGAUGCCAACGCGUUGUACUCGUGUCGUACGCCCAUUGAGAAAUGAUGCUGGGGACCCCACGGAUGGGGUCAUGAGUUCCCGGCCUUAUUGGUGGUUCGCUAACAUGCCAUGCCGACCAUCGGACCGUUAGCACGUCAGAUGAAUGCGGUGGGCCGACGGGCACAUCAACUCCAUCAAGAGGUUGGUGAAGAGAAAUGAAUCCGACUGUAAGUGGUGCUCCCAUCACGACCAAAGUUGGUGCAAAGAUUUUGACGACCGAGAACAUUUUUCUUUCUUGUUUAGAGUGAUUGUUUUUGAUGAUACAUGUCAUCGGCAGUGUUGUUCUGACUGUCAUAUCUCU
rnacentral:lncRNA from 1 species